UCCCAUAUAUGUAGGUGAAUUCCUUGAUGCAGAAUCAGGUUUAAUGAAUCAUUCUACAGCAUCAGCCUCAGCCUUUUAAAAUCCUUUAUUUUCUCCUUUUCCACAUUAAAAACACAUUUGAGAUAUACACAGAAAAUGUUUCUCUAAAAAAACGCACACAUACACACAAAACAGGAGGUCUCUUAAGGAGUCUACUGCUGAGAAGGUAAAAGCAUUUUGCUCAUUUUUAAUUUGCUAAAACAAUCCAAGCAUGCUUGGUACCCAGAGGGUAUUCUCAAAUAAACUUGUAUCUCUAGCUGCCAGCUUAGUUGAUUGAAAACAGAAGGCAAACGUUUCUUAAAGAAUAUGUUAAACUGUUAUGUCUCCCAGUACCACUCAGGAUACACACACACACACACAGACACACACACGCACACAUACCGCAUAGUCAAGGAUUUGCUUGAAAGCAGCCAGUUCUAUUAUCUAAAAGGUAAUACAUUUGUACCAAAUUACUCCUGCCUACUGCGGUGCACCUUUUAGCGAAGAAGCCAGUGCCACUGGGAUCCUGGACAGUUCUGGUGUGCCAUUCUCCACGUACAAAGCCAACGGCCCCAUUUGCGACUUUGCUAACUUAGUUGGCUUCCGCCCAGCCGAACCCCGAAGCACAGUCACUGAAAACGUUUUGAUACCAGAAAAUCAUUUCCACGACAGUGCAAGUGUUCGAAAGCACAAAGGCAGACUGUCUACCCGCGACAGUUCGCAAGUUGCGGUGGCGGGGCGGCUGUGCGGAGCGCGCGUGCAGGGUCCAACGCAGGAUGCCUGGAAGCCGAAUGGACACAGAUAGGACUGAAGAGAACAGAACACAAGACUUUUUGUAGAAACUCUGCAGGUCAGAAGAUUUUUGUAUGGAAUGAUCUUCUCCAAUCAAUUAUUUGAAUCUAAG
rnacentral:lncRNA from 10 species